GGACUCGCACAAGCGGUGGAGCAUGCGGUUUAAUUCGAUGCAACGCGAAAAACCUUACCAGGUCUUGACAUCCCGGUGACCGGACUAGAGAUAGUUCUUCCCUUCGGGGCACUGGAGACAGGUGGUGCAUGGUUGUCGUCAGCUCGUGUCGUGAGAUGUUGGGUUAAGUCCCACAACGAGCGCAACCCUUAUCAUUAGUUGCUAACAUUAAGUUGAGAACUCUAAUGAGACCGCCGGUGAUAAACCGGAUGAAGGUGGGGAUGACGUCAAAUCAUCAUGCCCUUUAUGACCUGGGCUACACGCGUGCUACAAUGGCUGGUACAAAGAGUCGCAAAACCGCGAGGUUGAGCAAAUCUCAUAAAACCAGUCUCAGUUCGGAUUGUAGUCUGCAACUCGACUACAUGAAGUUGGAAUCGCUAGUAAUCGCAAAUCAGCAUGUUGCGGUGAAUACGUUCUCGAGUCUU
rnacentral:rRNA from 1 species